rnacentral:rRNA from 1 species
GGUGGGGAUGACGUCAAGUCAUCAUGGCCCUUACGGCCAGGGCUACACACGUGCUACAAUGGCGCGUACAGAGGGCUGCAAGCUAGCGAUAGUGAGCGAAUCCCAAAAAGCGCGUCGUAGUCCGGAUCGGAGUCUGCAACUCGACUCCGUGAAGUCGGAAUCGCUAGUAAUCGCAAAUCAGAAUGUUGCGGUGAAUACGUUCCCGGGCCUUGUACACACCGCCCGUCACACCAUGGGAGUGGGUUGCACCAGAAGUAGAUAGCUUAACCUUCGGGA